rnacentral:ncRNA from 2 species
CUACACUGGCGCCGCUUCGGUGCAUGCGUGCGAGAUGACGUCGCACGCGGUUAAACGGGAAGCAGGAAGCCGCCGAUACGGGCGCGCCAACCUGCGCUGCCCCCGCAACGGUAAGCGACCGCGUCGAUCGUGCCUCGGUCAUGACGCGAACCGCCCCUCGAGAUCGGCCGUCCCCGCUCGCGCGACGACGGAUGGCCGCGGCCACUGCGCGUCGUUGCGCGGGAAGGCGGGGCCGGUGGUCGCCAGCCCGGAUACCGGCCGGAGCGGGGAAGCGUGU